GUGCUUGCAUGUCCUUUUUGUGUAUGAAAGUUUCUUUAUAAUUGUUAUCAUUAUCUUAAAUUUUUUUUUCCUUUUUUGUUUAAAUUGAAAUAAUCACAGUUUUACGGAUGUUAUUACUUCAUUUUGUACAGAUUGGCUGUGAAUAAUUUUUUUUACCGAUCUAUGUUUAUUUAUGUCUUUUCUAUUGUUAUUUAUUGUUAAUGCUUUGUUUUGUAGUUCUUGGCUUAUAAACAAAUCAUAUU
rnacentral:sRNA from 1 species